rnacentral:rRNA from 1 species
GCGAACGCUGGCGGCAGGCCUAACACAUGCACGUCGAACGAACUCUUCGGAGUUAGUGGCGGACGGGUGAGUAACACGUGGGAACGUGCCUUUUGGUUCGGAAUAACUCAGGGAAACUUGUGCUAAUACCGAAUGUGCCCUUCGGGGGAAAGAUUUAUCGCCAUUAGAGCGGCCCGCGUCUGAUUAGCUAGUUGGUGAGGUAACGGCUCACCAAGGCGACGAUCAGUAGCUGGUCUGAGAGGAUGACCAGCCACACUGGGACUAAGACACGGCCCAGACUCCUACGGGAGGCAGCAGUGGGGAAUCUUGCGCAAUGGGCGAAAGCCUGACGCAGCCAUGCCGCGUGAAUGAUGAAGGUCUUAGGAUUGUAAAAUUCUUUCACCGGGGACGAUAAUGACGGUACCCGGAGAAGAAGCCCCGGCUAACUUCGUG